AUUUUCUGGUAUUUUUGUGAACGAUUUUUCUCCUCUCAGCAAUAAAGAGAAGAUUUUUUUGGAUCCAAGUGCAUUCUGGUUGUAAGGAAAUGCUGCUGUCCCAUCUCCCUUGGGAAUGCCACCAUUUGGAUCUUGUCUCAAACUUUCAGUGUUUGUUGUACAGAAGAUCAAGAGAGGAUGUAAACAAGAUGAGUACUUUCUGCUUUU